UACGUAGGGGGCAAGCGUUGUCCGGAUUUAUUGGGCGUAAAGAGCGUGUAGGCGGCUAGAUAGGUCCGUUGUGAAAACUCGAGGCUCAACCUCGAGACGUCGAUGGAAACCAUCUGGCUAGAGCCCGGAAGAGGCGAGUGGAAUUCCUGGUGUAGCGGUGAAAUGCGCAGAUAUCAGGAAGAACACCCGUGGCGAAGGCGGCUCUCUGGGACGGUACUGACGCUGAGACGCGAAAGCGUGGGGAGCGAACAGG
rnacentral:rRNA from 1 species